rnacentral:rRNA from 1 species
GACAGAGGUGCCGAGCGUUAGGCGGAAUCACUGGGCUUAAAGCGUGUGUAGGCGGCGGCGUAAGUACCUUGUGAAAUCCCACGGCUCAACCGUGGAACUGCUCGGUAUACUGCGUCGCUUGAGCCAGCUAGGGGCGACCGGAACAAACGGUGGAGCGGUGAAAUGCGUAGAGAUGUGGAGGAACACCAGUGGCGAAGGCGACUCUUUGGCCUGUAACUGACGCUGAGGCGCGAAAGCGUGGGGAGCAAACAGG